rnacentral:tRNA from 1 species
GCGUCGGUGGUUUAGUGGUAGAAUACUCGCCUGCCACGCGGGUGAACCGGGUUCAAUUCCCGGCCGAAGCA